UACUUCUGUGUGCUUAAGCAAUAACUAAACCUGGCCCGAUUUCUUGGAAAAAUAUACGUCUAGCUAUGUACAUUUCUGUGUGUGCAUGUUUACAUGUGCAUAAAAAGUACCCAUUCGUCUUAUCAUGUAUACGUAUGUAUAAAAGUCGGGGCUGACAAUGGCGAAAGAUCACAUCUCUUUCGUACAAUGUACCAAGCACAAUUACAGACUUAAAAGUUGGGCAUUGUACAUUGAUUUUAUUGAAAUCUAAAUAUUUAGAGCUGAAAUGGGGGGAACUUUUAAAGUUGUCAUUUUUCUAGUGGCAACACUCACCUUAGCGACUGCAAUUAGUCAAGACGGAUUAAAACCAACCGACUUCGUCUACCUUUGUGACGAAGCUUGCCAAAAACCUGGGAACCUUCAUAACGAAGCAGUUCGAAAAUGCUGCAAGAACCUUGGCUACAAAAGCAACGGAUAUUGCAAGGCGAAUGAUCGGGCGUAUUGUAUUCGCUAAGCGAGAACAGAUCUUAUCUUUGCCAUUGUAAAAUAAUGAUCAAAUUUAUAAUCAGUUAAUGUUUUUAAGCUAGAAAUUGAAGUUGUGAAUAAAUAUACAUAUUUACAUAAG